CCCCGUGACACGGCGUCUCUGAGCACCACGCCGUCCGAGUCGCCACGCGCCCAGGCUACCUCCCGCCUCUCCACCGCUUCCUGUCCCACCCCCAAGGCGCGGCUCCCCUCCUCUUCAUCCACCCUAAGCAUUGCUGAGGCGUCGCGGCGAGAGUUCAGAGCACACCUGGAUGAGGUCAUCACACUCAAGUCAAGGUACUCUACCUUGGACCAGGUAAAGAGCUCAUCUUCAAUCAUAGUUUGAGACUAAUUCAGCCUGUAAACAUGACUUUAGUACACCGACAGCUACUGAAGCAGCUCAAAUACAGGAAAAAUCCAUUUUGAACACAAACCUACAAAGAUAACAGACUUACUAUCAUCUUCCAGUUAUCAUGGCACUACAGAACAGGUAUCAGUGGGUUUACAUAUUUAGUUUAGUUAAUAAGUUAAGCCAAACCACCGUGUGGUUAGCAUUAUUUC